rnacentral:rRNA from 1 species
UACGUAGGGGGCAAGCGUUGUCCGGAAUCAUUGGGCGUAAAGAGCGUGUAGGCGGCCCGAUAAGUCCGCUGUGAAAGUCCAGGGCUCAACCCUGGAAUGCCGGUGGAUACUGUCGGGCUCGAAUCCGGAGGAGGUGAGUGGAAUUCCUGGUGUAGCGGUGAAAUGCGUAGAUAUCUGGAGGAAUACCGGUGGCGAAGGCGGCAUCCUGGACCGACAUUGACGCUGAUGAGCGAAAGCUAGGGGAGCAAACGGG